rnacentral:rRNA from 1 species
GACAGAGGUCCCGAGCGUUAGGCGGAAUCACUGGGCUUAAAGCGUGUGUAGGCGGAUCUGUAAGUACCUUGUGAAAUCCCACGGCUUAACCGUGGAACGGCUUGGUAUACUGCGGAUCUUGAGCCACCUAGGGGCUACUGGAACAAACGGUGGAGCGGUGAAAUGCGUAGAUAUCGUUUGGAACGCCAAUGGUGAAAACAAGUAGCUGGGGGUGUGCUGACGCUGAGACACGAAAGCCAGGGGAGCGAACGGG